rnacentral:rRNA from 1 species
GACGAACGCUGGCGGCGUGCCUAAUACAUGCAAGUAGAACGCUGAAGGAGGAGCUUGCUUCUCUGGAUGAGUUGCGAACGGGUGAGUAACGCGUAGGUAGCCUGCCUGGUAGCGGGGGAUAACUAUUGGAAACGAUAGCUAAUACCGCAUAAUAGUAGAUGUCGCAUGACAUUUGCUUAAAAGGUGCAAUUGCAUCACUACCAGAUGGACCUGCGUUGUAUUAGCUAGUUGGUGAGGUAACGGCUCACCAAGGCAACGAUACAUAGCCGACCUGAGAGGGUGAUCGGCCACACUGGGACUGAGACACGGCCCAGACUCCUACGGGAGGCAGCAGUAGGGAAUCUUCGGCAAUGGACGGAAGUCUGACCGAGCAACGCCGCGUGAGUGAAGAAGGUUUUCGGAUCGUAAAGCUCUGUUGUAAGAGAAGAACGAGUGUGAGAGUGGAAAGUUCACACUGUGACGGUAUCUUACCAGAAAGGGACGGCUAACUACGUG